UACAGAGGGUGCAAGCGUUAAUCGGAAUUACUGGGCGUAAAGCGUGCGUAGACGGUUACAUAAGUCGGGUGUGAAAGCCCCGGGCUCAACCUGGGAAUUGCAUUCGAGACUGCGUAGCUAGGGUGCGGAAGAGGGAAGCGGAAUUCCGGUGUAGCGGUGAAAUGCGUAGAUAUCGGAAGGAACACCAGUGGCGAAAGCGGCUUCCUGGUCCAGCACCGACGUCAGGCACGAAAGCGUGGGAGCAACAGG
rnacentral:rRNA from 1 species